ensembl:lncRNA
GUGAACAUGGGAAAGAACAGUGACAUGCACAAGUUAGGCAAUCUCCUGCCACUGUACUGCAAUGACCUCAACCAACAAUAUUGUGCAAGAUAGAGCACGGGUUGCACGUGCUGCAGACCAAAAGGGCAGAAAACCAAGGAAACCAAAUAUUCCCACUGCCCUGCUACAGAGUCAGACACAAGAAUGAGACUUGCACAGAGAGGGAGCUGAUUUGUCUUCUGUUUGUUGUCAGUCACGGUCCAGCUGAGCCACAAGUUCCCCUUUCAGGAUCCCCAUGGGCAAAUGGAAGAGGGAGGAAUGGCCAGCUUACCAUUAGAGUUGUUGUCAGCUGCCAACUGGCAAUAUUAGUAUUGGGGAACCUUCUACUAGAGCAAGGAAGGCAGCGAAGCUUGAACUAAAGAUCUGAAGCACUUUGCUGUGUCAUCUAUCUUCAUUGUCCCUUCUGGGAGCCACAGAAAUGGUACACACCCCAUCUGGGAACCAAAAACACCUAGCAACUGCAGCCUGAAUGAGGGCUUGAAAUGCUCUGCCAUUUCAUUUAUCUUCUCCGUCCCUCCUGGCAACCAGAGAAACAGUGGCUGAAGGCACACCCCACCCAGAAACCAGAGACAGCAAGUGCUGUACCCUGAGCAGAAGCCUGAAAGCAAGCCAUUCCAUUCAUCCCCUGCUUCCUGUCUGCAGCACUGUACCUGGCACAGGAGUCACUUAG